rnacentral:rRNA from 1 species
UCGAGAAUUUUUCUCAAUGGGCGAAAGCUUGAAGGAGCGACGCCGCGUGGGGGAUGAAGGGCUUCGGCCUGUAAACCCCUGUCAUUUGCGAACAAACCUGCUCAUCUAAUACAUGGGCAGCUGAUAGUAGUGAAAGAGGAAGGGACGGCUAACUCUGUGCCAGCAGCCGCGGUAAUAAAGAGGUCCCAAGCGUUGUUCGGAUUCACUGGGCGUAAAGGGUGCGUAGGUGGCGGGAGAAGUUCGGUGUGAAAUCACCGGGCUCAACCCGGAAACGGCAUUGAAAACACUCGUGCUAGAGGGUCGGAGGGGAGACGGGAAUUCUCGGUGUAGCAGUGAAAUGCGUAGAUAUCGAGAGGAACACCAGUGGCGAAGGCGAGUCUCUGGACGACUCCUGACACUGAGGCACGAAAGCUAGGGGAUCAAACA